AAUAGCAAGUGCUAAGUAAAUGUUAGCGCUUCUCAUUGUCACGUAGAGAACUGGGGCUGGACUGAGAGGAUGAGGAAGAGCCAGUAGGCGUGGCCAGAAGACCAUCUGGUAGGCCCAACAGCAACCAGAGUUGAGGCCAAGGCCCCCGCGGUAGGAAGGAGUUCAAGGAACAGCAAGAAAUCCUACCUCACCAUUGAUUGGCUGUGUGAUUUGGGGCAAGAGGCUUAACCUCUCAAACUCAGUUUCCUCAGUUAUGAGAUUCAGAUGAGACAAUGUACGUGGAAGAGUUCUGCAGUUAUUCAAUUGUAAAAACCUAAGGGUUGAACCAAGAACCUGCCACUGAACAAAGAGUGAGACAGAGCCUGUGAUGUACAAUCUGCAGCUGAAGUGACAAGGAUAACAGCUGGUGUUUAUUGAGCGACUACUGUGUGCUGGGUUCAGCGUUGACUGUCACAUCCGGAAGCCCGUUGUGGCCCUCAGCAGGAGGCACGGAAGGAUGUCAAAGUCUCCAGGCUGGAGCCCAAGUCAACCUCAAUGGCCGCUUCCACCAGCCCUCUGCUGCAGAUGCCUUCCUCGCUGUCACCAGAUGAUCGCGGCUCCUAUUUUAUGGAGAAGUGAAAUGAGAACUGUGCCAGCCGCUCUGUCCUCACCAGCUCUCAUCUCCGGCUUCUCUAACUGCCAUGGGCCAUCACCCCAGAGGCAGAGGCUGACUCGGGCCCAGGCUGACUCCUGCGCCCUCCUGGACAGUCCUUCCCGUUUCCUCUUGACCUGUUCCAUGGCUUAGCCCCUCUCCUGCACCGCCAACUUCCCUGUCCAAGGACCCUCUGUUCAGUGUUUAAAAACACACUAGGUCUCCCACGGGGCAGGGACCUGCCAACCUCGGACCACUUCCUCUUCACUCCUGCAGUUCACGCUCAAGUUUCUUGAAAGAGCUGUUGACACCCAGUCUGACUUCCCCCUCCACUGCUUUUUCACCUACUUGUCUGCUGCCACAGAGACUUGCCAUCGCCAAGGCCACCAACCAUCUCCUGAUCACACAUCAAACACAUUUUGGCGGCCACCUGAAGCUGCUGACCGCUCCCUCCCUCUGAACACCUGUCUUUGGAAUCUAACAGGGACCUGCUCUCCCCCGUCCUCUUCCUCUCUCCAGCUUUCUCUCUUGAUCCCCUUCAGGGCAUCUCUUCUCUUGCUGGACAGGUCAAGGGUCAAGUCGCCCCUUCCCCAGGCACCCCCACCAGCCACCCUGUCUCAUCCACAUCUGCUGAACAACUCCCCGCCUGCCUCUGGGGCCCAGAUCUGCCCCUGUGCUUCUGGCUUCUGACCCACACGCCCCAUUGCUGGCUCCCAAGGUGGACACUCUCCCAGCCCUAUUCUGGGGUUUGAGGAGUGCCCCACCCGCAAUUGUCACAGCCUAACUAUUUCUAUCACUUCUGUCACAUUCUGUUGGUUAAACACUUGCAGGACUGUCCUCGAGUCCAUGGGGAGGGGACCGUUGUUGUGGACAGUUGCAAAAAUAUGAAGCUGUCUCUGACCCACCACGGAGGACAGGCAGGUGAUGUGGUUGUCUGAUACAGAGUGACCUUCGUCGCCAUGCAGGAAUGUCAAACCUGAUUUCCCAAGAUAAAUUAAAGCUAUGGAUUUUCAUGUGAAAGCUCCAGAUCUUUUAAUGUUGGCAGCUAAUUCUAAAACUUCUAAAAAUGUCGUGUGAGCAAAACUAAAAAUGUCUUUGGUUUGGA